GCCGGGCAUGGUGGUGCAUGCCUGUAGUCCCAGAUACUUGGGAGGCUGAGGCAGAAGAAUCACUUGAACCCAGGAGGUGGAGGUUGCAGUGAGCUGACAUCAUGCCACUGCACUCCAGCCUGGGUGACAGAGUGAGACUCCAUCUCAA
rnacentral:SRP_RNA from 1 species